AGGGAGUUCUGCCCCUGCCAAGGGGUGCUGGCCACGCAGGAGGCUUAACCUGGCCGGCGCGGGAAUGGGGUGCAGAGAGCAAAGAAAUGUGGCUUUGAUCUUAUGGAUGCCUUACUUUUACAUUAUUUGUACAGUUCUUGCAGUGAGCUUUCCGGACCACUGUCUUGUAUGUUUCCUAAGAAAAGCAAAAAGGGAAGAGAUUGAAGAGAAAGUAGAUUUUCAACUACAAACUUUCAUCCAUUUGCUUUCAGCUUAAGCAAAUGUGCGCAAAGUUGUCAUGGAUUUUUGCAGUCAAUAAAAACCAAGCAAGAAGACUGAAUCCCAAGUCAUCUGGUAUAAAUGGAAGCAGUUUCUGUGAUAGUUCCACGCGGUCAGAAGGGUCAUCCUGGCUUAGGAGAGGGGCAGAAGAGGAAAUGCACGCGUGGAAACAGGAGUGGGCAGGGAGGAUGUGACACUGUCCUCCUCACCAGGCCACGUUCCUGGCACCAACCAUAGUGUUUGUGAGGGUCAAUUUAAUUGUUCUUGUGCUCUCAUAGAGGAAGCUGUGUCUUUCAUCCCCUUGUAAGAGUUUUCACUGAUGAAGGGGGUCUUUUAUCUUCAUAUCUUGGGAACUACUGAAACUGUUUCAAAGAGUCAAAGACACCAAUAACUAACAGAAAUUCUUGUUUUCAGGGGCAGAUAAGAAAAGAAACAAUUUGCUGAAACUCCCUCUGCUUAUAACAAAACUGACUGAAAUCAGCCGGAAUCAAUAUGGCCAAAUGCAGUUUGCGCACAGCAAGCUUGCUGAUGUCACAGCCUGAAUUUCUACUGCAUGUUUCAUACCAACUCCCUCCAAAUUUGCACAUGGGACCCACCAGGAAGCAUGAAGAGAGAGCCAUGCAUGCCUGAAGACUUCCCAGAUGUUCCCUUUGCUUCCACCAAUCACCUGCUAACCCCAGGAUCCAACCCUAAACCUUUUGUAAUAAAAUUACUGCCCUAAAGCCAGUACAAGACAGAUUUGAACUGGACUUUUGUUUCCUCAGAAGUUAACUUGCAAUGUGAAGCUUUCCUUUUCUCAAAAACUUGGUGUCAUAGUGUUGGCUUCUAGUGCAGUGAGCCCCUUUUGCUGGAUAACCUUACCUGGUAAUUUGACAUACUAGGUGGUUAGUAACUACUGACUGUCUCCAGGUUACAACACAGUUAUUACCCACUUGGGUGAAAAGAGAAGACAGGAAAUACAUUUUGGAGUUGGCUGGCAACCUGUUUACAAAGCAAUUUACAACAGUUCCUUAUUCUUAAGGGGCUAUUCUAAUACAAGACCUCAGAGAAACAGUGCAGUGUGACAAAGGAGGAAUUUAUCAAAGGAGACAGAAAAAGCAUCAAGGCAAGCUGUGAAAUGGUGCGGUAGGAACCAAAUAGAGAGCCAAAGGAUCUUUCUGUCACUGCAGGCCCUUAGGGAGACGGGGUCUCACUGUAUCAGCUCAGCUGGAGUACAGUGGUGAGAUCAGAGCUCACCGCAGCCUCCGGGCUCCUGGUCUCAAGCAAUCCGGACCUCAGCCUCCCAAGUAGUGGGGACUACAGAGAAUGUACAACUCCUCUGCCACAACGUGAGGGAGAGAAGUCUGCAGACGGCUGACUGGUGACGACUGAACAAGACGGAAAGGCAAGUCGCUAUGCCCGAAGCCUUUGAAGGGAGCCAGCAGGGUCCAUGGGAGGUUCAGGACACAUAUCUGCAGCCCUGCUUCUGGCCCCACCCUUGGGGAAGCCUUUUGCAGGUGAUCCUGGGCCUCUGCUGGGGAAGGCCCCAAGAGGUGAAGCAUCCUCUGCAGAGGAGAGAGCACAUCCGGAAGUAGAAGACAGACCACUGUCUGGGCUCCGUUUAACUGCUGUGAUUUGGGAUUGUAACUUACUCCCGUAAAGCCUCAGUUUCCCACAUGGAAAAUCAAAUCGAUCAUUGUUAUAACAUUUCACUUUUUUGUUAUGUGAUGUAAUUUACACAGUGCUUUCGUAUACGUUAUCCAAUUUAGCGAAAUAAUACAGAGCAAUGCAUUUUGAAAAGAAUAAAAUGCUUAACAUAUGUGA
rnacentral:lncRNA from 1 species